rnacentral:rRNA from 1 species
UACAGAGGGUGCGAGCGUUAAUCGGAAUUACUGGGCGUAAAGCGCGCGUAGGCGGCUUUGCAAGCCGGAUGUGAAAUCCCCGGGCUUAACCUGGGAACUGCAUUCGGGACUGCAUUGCUAGAGUAUGGGAGAGGGAAGUGGAAUUCCUGGUGUAGCGGUGAAAUGCGCAGAUAUCAGGAGGAACACCGGUGGCGAAGGCGGUUCUCUGGGAAUAUCCUGACGCUGAGGAGCGAAAGCGUGGGGAGCGAACAGG